UAAAAAUAAUUUAUUAUAAUAAAUUUAUAAAUUUUUUAAAAAUUCUACUUAAAUUUAAAUUUAAUAAAAAGAAUUUAUUAUAAUAUUUAAAUAUAAUUUAUUAUAAAUUUUAUUAUAAUAUUUAAAUAUAAAUAAUAUGUAUUAAUAUAGUACAAUUAAUAAUUUUAUAAUAAAAAUAAUGUAUUAUAAUAUAUAACAUAUUAUAUUUAUAUAAUUUAGUUUAAUUUAAUUUAUAAGUUUAAUUAAGUUUGAAAUUAAGCAUUGGAAUAGUACUGUUCCACCAAAAUGGUGGAAUAGCAAAUUUCUUGCUAUUCCGGAAUAACUGGGAAUAGCAAGAUUUGACCGGGAUAAAAUAUCCCGGUCAAAUUUUACCCCGUUUGGCGGAAUAGCGGGAAUAACUUUCGUUAUCCCCGCUUAUCCCGCAAUUCAAACGGGGCCAUAGUGUCUAAAUUAGCAUUUUUGAGAAUGCUCUGAAUGGGCGCCACAAUUAUAUGAACAUAGUGUCCAAAUUAGCAUUUUUGAGAAUGCUCUGAAUGGGCGCCACAAUUAUAUGAACAUAGUGUCCAAAUUAGCAUUUUUGAGAAUGCUCUGAAUGGACGCCACAAUUAUAUGAACAUAGUGUCCAAAUUAGCAUUUUUGAGAAUGCUCUGAAUGGGCGCCACGUGCUCUUUUUCUUCUUCUACUUCUUUCUCU
rnacentral:lncRNA from 1 species